rnacentral:tRNA from 1 species
GGGUGGAUGGCGAAAUUGGUAUACGCAUCAUAUUCAAAAUGUGACAACUUAAAAUUGAGUUAUGAGGGUUCAAUUCCCUCUCUACCCA